AGUAACGCGUGAGGAACCUGCCUCAAAGAGGGGGACGACAGUUGGAAACGACUGCUAAUACCGCAUAAGCCCACGGCUCGGCAUCGAGCAGAGGGAAAAGGAGCAAUCCGCUUUGAGAUGGCCUCGCGUCCGAUUAGCUAGUUGGUGAGGUAAUGGCCCACCAAGGCGACGAUCGGUAGCCGGACUGAGAGGUUGAACGGCCACAUUGGGACUGAGACACGGCCCAG
rnacentral:rRNA from 1 species